UACGAAGGGGGCUAGCGUUGCUCGGAAUCACUGGGCGUAAAGCGCACGUAGGCGGGUCGUUAAGUCAGGGGUGAAAUCCCGGAGCUCAACUCCGGAACUGCCUUUGAUACUGGCGAUCUUGAGUUCGAGAGAGGUGAGUGGAACUGCGAGUGUAGAGGUGAAAUUCGUAGAUAUUCGCAAGAACACCAGUGGCGAAGGCGGCUCACUGGGACGGUACUGACGCUGAGACGCGAAAGCGUGGGGAGCGAACAGG
rnacentral:rRNA from 1 species